GAUCAUGGCUCAGGAUAAACGCUGGCGGCGCACAUAAGACAUGCAAGUCGAACGGACUUAACCAUUAGUUUACUAUUGGAGCGGUUAGUGGCGGGACUGGUGAGGUACACGUAAGCGAACCUGACCUAUCAGAGGGGGAACAACGAGUUUAAGAAAUGACUGCUAAUACCGCAUAUGCCUUAAUUACCACAUGGUAGUAGAGGGAAGGAGCAAUCUGCUGAUAGAUGGGCUUGCGU
rnacentral:rRNA from 1 species